rnacentral:rRNA from 1 species
GAUGAACGCUGGCGGCGUGCCUAAUACAUGCAAGUCGAGCGAACAGACGAGGAGCUUGCUCCUCUGACGUUAGCGGCGGACGGGUGAGUAACACGUGGAUAACCUACCUAUAAGACUGGGAUAACUUCGGGAAACCGGAGCUAAUACCGGAUAAUAUAUUGAACCGCAUGGUUCAAUAGUGAAAGACGGUUUUGCUUUCACUUAUAGAUGUAUCCGCGCCGCAUUAGCUAGUUGUUAAGGUAACGGCUUACCAAGGCAACGAGGCGUAGCCGACCUGAGAGGGUGGUCGGCCACACGGGAACUAGACCACGGUCCAGACUCCUACGGUAGGCAGCAGUAGGGAAUCUUCCGCAAUGGGCGAAAGCCUAACGGAGCAACGCCGCGUGAGUGAUGAAGGUCUUCGGAUCGUAAAACUCUGUUAUUAGGGAAAAACAAAUGUGUAAGUAACUAUGCACGUAUUGACGGUACCUACUCAGAAAGCCACGGCUAACUACGUG